UACGGAGGGUGCGAGCGUUGUCCGGAAUCAUUGGGCGUAAAGGGCGCGUAGGUGGCCCGGUCAGUCCGUGGUGAAAGCGCGGGGCUCAACCCCGCGUCGGCCAUGGAUACUGCUGGGCUGGAGCACUGUAGAGGCAGGCGGAAUUCCGGGUGUAGCGGUGGAAUGCGCAGAGAUCCGGAAGAACACCGGUGGCGAAGGCGGCCUGCUGGGCAGUUGCUGACACUGAGGCGCGACAGCGUGGGGAGCAAACAGG
rnacentral:rRNA from 1 species